GAUGAACGCUGGCGGCGUGCCUAAUACAUGCAAGUCGAGCGAACAGACGAGGAGCUUGCUCCUCUGACGUUAGCGGCGGACGGGUGAGUAACACGUGGAUAACCUACCUAUAAGACUGGGCUAACUUCGGGAAACCGGAGCUAAUACCGGAUAAUAUAUUGAACCGCAUGGUUCAAUAGUGAAAGACGGUUUUGCUGUCACUUAUAGAUGGAUCCGCGCCGCAUUAGCUAGUUGGUAAGGUAACGGCUUACCAAGGCGACGAUGCGUAGCCGACCUGAGAGGGUGAUCGGCCACACUGGAACUGAAACACGGUCCAGACUCCUACGGGAGGCAGCAGUAGGGAAUCUUCCGCAAUGGGCGAAAGCCUGACGGAGCAACGCCGCGUGAGUGAUGAAGGUCUUCGGAUCGUAAAACUCUGUUAUUAGGGAAGAACAAAUGUGUAAGUAACUAUGCACGUCUUGACGGUACCUAAUCAGAAAGCCACGGCUAACUACGUG
rnacentral:rRNA from 1 species